UACGUAGGCAGCGAGCGUUGUUCGGAAUUACUGGGCGUAAAGAGUGUGUAGGCGGUGUUCCCAGUCUGUUGUGAAAUCUCCCGGCUUAACUGGGAGGGUGCAGCGGAAACUAGAAUGCUAGAGGGUGGGAGAGGUAAGCGGAAUUCCUGGUGUAGCGGUGAAAUGCGUAGAUAUCGAGAGGAACACCAGUGGCGAAGGCGAGUCCCUGGACAACACCUGACACUGAGGCACGAAAGCUAGGGGAGCAAACAGG
rnacentral:rRNA from 1 species